rnacentral:tRNA from 1 species
AGGUACAUUGGUCAAGGUUUCAUGAUUACCUUUUCUAUUGGUAUUUAUGGAUUGAUAACAAGUCGGAAUAUGGUUAGAGCCCUUAUGUGUCUU